rnacentral:rRNA from 1 species
CGCGUAGGCGGGCUUUUAAGUUGGGGGUGAAAUCCCGGAGCUUAACUCCGGAACUGCCUCCAAAACUGGAAGCCUUGAGGUAUGGAGAGGGAAGUGGAAUUCCUGGUGUAGCGGUGAAAUGCGUAGAUAUCAGGAGGAACACCCGUGGCGAAGGCGGCUUCCUGGCCAUAUCCUGACGCUGAGGUGCGAAAGCUAGGGGAGCGAACGGGAUUAGAUACCCCGGUAGUCCUAGCCGUAAACGAUGGAUACUAGGUGUUAGAGGUAUCGACCCCUCUAGUGCCGAAGCUAACGCAUUAAGUAUCCCGCCUGGGGAGUACGGCCGCAAGGCUGAA